rnacentral:rRNA from 1 species
UACGUAGGGUGCAAGCGUUGUCUGGAAUUAUUGGGCGUAAAGAGCUCGUAGGCGGUUUGUCGCGUCUGCUGUGAAAUCUGGGGGCUCAACCCCCAGCCUGCAGUGGGUACGGGCAGACUAGAGUGCGGUAGGGGAGAUUGGAAUUCCUGGUGUAGCGGUGGAAUGCGCAGAUAUCAGGAGGAACACCGAUGGCGAAGGCAGAUCUCUGGGCCGUAACUGACGCUGAGACGCGAAAGCGUGGGGAGCAAACAGG